UACGUAGGGUGCGAGCGUUGUCCGGAAUUAUUGGGCGUAAAGAGCUCGUAGGCGGUCUGUCGCGUCGAAUGUGAAAACCCGGGGCUCAACUCCGGGCCUGCAGUCGAUACGGGCAGACUGGAGUUCGGCAGGGGAGACUGGAAUUCCUGGUGUAGCGGUGAAAUGCGCAGAUAUCAGGAGGAACACCGGUGGCGAAGGCGGGUCUCUGGGCCGAUACUGACGCUGAGGAGCGAAAGCGUGGGGAGCGAACAGG
rnacentral:rRNA from 1 species